rnacentral:rRNA from 1 species
AGUGAACGCUGGCGGCAGGCCUAACACAUGCAAGUCGAACGGCAGCACAGAGGAGCUUGCUCCUUGGGUGGCGAGUGGCGGACGGGUGAGGAGUACAUGGGAAUCUGCCCAAUCGUGGGGGAUAACGUAGGGAAACUUACGCUAAUACCGCAUACGACCUACGGGUGAAAGCGGCGGACCGCAAGGCGUCGCGCGACUGGAUGAGCCCAUGUCGGAUUAGCUAGUUGGCGGGGUAAAGGCCCACCAAGGCGACGAUCCGUAGCUGGUCUGAGAGGAUGAUCAGCCACACUGGAACUGAGACACGGUCCAGACUCCUACGGGAGGCAGCAGUGGGGAAUAUUGGACGAUGGGCGCAAGCCUGAUCCAGCCAUGCCGCGUGAGUGAAGAAGGCCCUCGGGUUGUAAAGCUCUUUUGUCCGGAAAGAAAAGCUUUCGGUUAAUACCCGGAAGUCCUGACGGUACCGGAAGAAUAAGCACCGGCUAACUUCGUGCCAGCAGCCGCCGCUGUAA